rnacentral:lncRNA from 1 species
UUCAAAAACCUCGUACGAGAACUUGUAUAGAGAAGGAUUUCCUGCGGCACAGCAGUUCUUCCAUACCAACUUAGUUGCCCGGCGCUGCUAUAGGCAUAACAACCGGUACACCAUAGGUUGACCCAACCCAGCCCUCUCGUACUAGGGUUGGCUCCUCGCAAUUCUCCCUUUAACACCAACGGUAGAUAGGAACCGAACUGUCUCA